UUCCCAGAAAGGCCAUCAAGGUACAUCGCCAUCGACGUGCGGUGACGAGCCGCACCCGCAGGCGGCCGACAAGGGCGCCUGGAGCCGGGCGCGCGGCCUGGGCGGCCUGCUCAGUGCCGUGGGUGGCGGCGGCGGCGGCGCAGGUGGCGGGUGCGGGGGCCCCGGCGCGGGCACGCUGCCCUCAGCCAACGCCUACGCCAGCAUCGACUUCCUGUCCCACCGCCUGAAGGAGGCGGCGGCCGUGAAAGAGUGAAGCGCGCAGCAGAGCGGAAGCUGGCGUCUCCCGGGUCGGAAGCAGCUUGUCCUCCGUGUUGGGAUCUGAGCGGUGACCCUGCGAGCCGCCCACACCUCUCGCGCUCCCACGCGGGGCGUUCACCAUCGUGCUGUCCAUGUCCUGUUUGUUGUUGAUUUUUUAAGAAAAAAAAAAAAAAAACACAGAAUUAGCUGAAGGAGCAAUUCUCAAAGACCGUUGGAUGUUCCCAUUGGCUGCAAGACGUCAGGGCCAGUGUCUUAAUCUCCUUCUCACUUUGAUCUUGGCUCAGCAAAGGCGCCCCUCAGCAUGCUGGGAGAUUCUACCGACAGCCAUGGAAGUGGUAAAAUCUGGUGUUUCCUGGCACCCUCUCAAAGCUACCACAGUCCUACCGCUGAGCUGUGUGUGGGAGCCGCAGGGCGACCCUUUCCUCUCUGGUGCGUGGAGCUGUGUCGGCGAGGGCACACUUCUUUAUUUCCAUGUACUUACUCAUUCCGUCAUGCUCGGGGACCCUCCAGCAUUUCCCUGAAGGCUUCCAGCAUCCCUGUUCACUGUUUGGAGACACCUUGGCCUUCCGGGACGCAUCGCGUAGGCCCCUGCAGCUUUGAUGUGCUCCUCUGUCUGAAGCCUUUUGCUGCUAAGCCUGGCGGAUUUCUUUGUCUCCCCGCUCCAGCUGCGUGGCGCCCAUGGUGGUGGAGACCCGUCUUCCGGGACACGGGUCUGGGGUCUCCAUCGGUCGUGGUGUUGCCAGCCCCGGCUCGGUCACCAGCACCGUCCUAUUCUUCCAGUGCUGCUCCUCCUCCGUCCCCUCCCCCCUCCCCUGUAAUUGUGGCCAAUCCCUUUUAUGGGGGGUGAUUUCCUGGCUAAUCUCUCCGGAUCACACUGGAUUUUUUUAUGAUCAUGAUUUGCUUCCUCUCGGGCGAGCUGCCGUAUUUGUCCGCGGCAGCGUCCACGCUGCUGUGUGCCUGCUGUCUUGGGUGGCCCUUGUUUGGGCUCGUUUUUAUGAAUGAAGGGCUGGGUUGAUUUAUGUGGCGCUGCCUGGGAGCUUCCUCGGCCGUGAGGCACCUCUGUGCCUCUUCCUUGAAUGGCUAACUACAGGCCCCAUAUAAGUGGGUGAGGCCGCCCCAGCAGGAGGAGAAACCAGGAGGCCAGGCCUCCUCCCCGCACACCCCUCCCGGACCAGCCGCCAACCCAGGGAGCUGACAGCGAGGGGCGAGGCCGGGAGCUCCCGGCCUCAGCCGCCCAAGUUUUGCAGCAGCCCAAGGCCUGGUUCCCAGUUCUGCUUUUCCGUGGCGCGUUUAAGCAGCUUGGUACCUCCGUGUGCCCUGCCAUCGUGGUGGCUGUUUGCAGAAUGAGUAUGCAUACGCCAAAACAGAGAGCAGUGUUUCCUUUUAUCCUUAAACCUCCACAACUCGCCCAAAAGCGUGUAGAAGGAGCUUUCAAAGGGUUUGUGGGAAAUGAAUUAAAACACAAGUUGAUUUUGAAAUCUGAGCACGUAGGGGACCUUAAAAAGAAUCGUGGAAAUGUUUUUAAAAAAACCACACAUAGGGGCCGGUGCUGUGGCGUUAGUGGGCUGAGCCUCUGCCUGUGGCGCGCCGGCAUCCCAUAUGUGUGCUGGUUCCAGUCCCGGCUGCUCCUCUUCUGAUCCAGCACUCUGCUGUGGCCUGGGAAAGCAGUAGAGGAUGGCCCCAGUCCUUGGGCCCCUGCACGUGCAUGGGAGACCCAGAGGAAGCUCCUGGCUCCUGGAUUUGGAUCAGCGUAGCUCUGGC
rnacentral:lncRNA from 1 species